rnacentral:rRNA from 1 species
GUAGCGAACAGGAUUAGAUACCCUGGUAGUCCACGCCGUUAACGAUGAGCACUGGUUGUUGGCGAUACAUAGUCAGCGACUGAGCGAAAGUAUUAAGUGCUCCACCUGGGGAGUACGUUGGCAACAAUGAAACUCAAAGGAAUUUGACGGGGGCCCGCACAANCGGAGGAACAUGUGGUUUAAUUCGAUGAUACGCGAGGAGCCUUACCUGGGCUUAAAUGUAGAGUGCAUUGCUUGGAAACAGGCAUUUCCUUCGGGACUCUUUACAAGGUGAUGCAUGGUUGUCGUCAGCUCGUGCCGUGAGGUGUCGGGUUAAGUCCCAUAACGAGCGCAACCCCUAUUGUUAGUUACCAGCACGUAAUGGUGGGACUCUUACAAGACUGCCGGUGUAAACCCUGAUGGAAGGUGGGGAUGACGUCUAAUAGGACGGGCCCUUAUUUCCAGGGCUACACACGUGUUACAAUGGCAAGUACAAAGGGGCAGCCACACUGGCAACAGGGCGCUAAUCCCAAAAGCUUGUCUCAGUUCGGAUCGGAGUCUGCAACUCGACUCCGUGAAGGUGGAUUCGCUAGUAUCGCGCAUCAGCUAUGGCGCGGUGAUACGUUCCCGGGCAUGUACACACCGCCCGUCAAGCCAUGGAANCCGGGGUACACUGAAGU